rnacentral:rRNA from 1 species
GCUUCGCUGACGAGUGGCGGACGGGUGAGUAAUGUCUGGGAAACUGCCUGAUGGAGGGGGAUAACUACUGGAAACGGUGGCUAAUACCGCAUAACGUCGCAAGACCAAAGAGGGGGACCUUCGGGCCUCUUGCCAUCAGAUGUGCCCAGAUGGGAUUAGCUUGUUGGUGAGGUAACGGCUCACCAAGGCGACGAUCCCUAGCUGGUCUGAGAGGAUGACCAGCCACACUGGAACUGAGACACGGUCCAGACUCCUACGGGAGGCAGCAGUGGGGAAUAUUGCACAAUGGGCGCAAGCCUGAUGCAGCCAUGCCGCGUGUAUGAAGAAGGCCUUCGGGUUGUAAAGUACUU